ACAAUUAUACCACUGCACUAAAGGAUACUUUGUACAUUGAUGGCCGAAACUAAUAUAUAUUAUGAAGGUCGGAAACUAAUAUAACAUUAUGGACCCCACCUUUUUUUUUUAAAUUGAUGGGUAACGAAUGGACUUCGACAAAAUGGGCUUUGGGCUUAUUGAUUUUCUGUUUAUUAGGCUUUGUAUCUGCCCAAAGUGGUGAUACAGACAAAGCUAAGAAGAUUAGGAAAGCCGCCAUCUUCACCAUCUCCUUCGUCGCUUGCGAUUCCCCUUCUGGCAAUCAGUUAUUAUGGUCGAUCUUUAAGGCUCUACGCACGUUUUGCGCCUACCAAACGCUUAGUUUCUGCUCUAACGCCUUCAGAGCUCUCAUAUAUAUAGAAUCCCUCGAGGUAUAAGCUCCAUCUUGUCUCAAACUUUUCUUUCUCAGUUUUCCGUUCGCUUUACUUUCUCACAUCCGUCGCGAAAAUGACUUAUCCAGCUGCUCCAGCCGCUUCAGCCACCAUUGCCGCCGUUCCCUUCUCCACCUUCAACUCUCUCCGCCUUAGAAGGUCCACUCAGUCCAUUGUUGGUCGGCUCAUCCGAUUCUAGGAUUCCAGGAACAUUAACAAGAAUGGAGAGUUUAUGGGCAUCACCAUUCUCCUCCUUGAUGAACUGGAUUCUGUGAUCCACGGUUUCAUCCCUGCAAUCUCCAAACAAAACAUGAAAACUGAAUGAAUUAUGUUUUUAGCAACCGAAUCUAAAAGAAAUAAAAGACAUCUUACUUAAUAAAUUAAAACCUUUUCUUUUGCAGAUUCCAACGACGAUGAAGCACCCGAGGACCAACGACAAUGGAAUGAUGCGGACGAAGCCUAACUGAUGUAAGUAAACUCCUCUUCAAUAACGCAUCACACUAUUAUCGCUCCCCAAUCUCACAAACUUAAGCUCUAAUCAUGUGAGGGAUCCCACAGGUGAUGCUGUCCCGACAACGGAGAAAAAAAAAGAAAGAUAACCUAACGUUUUUUUUAUUUUCAGUUUUUAAGUUCAAAUCAUGUUUUAGACAUAGAACCCAACAUAAUUUGAGCCCAAACAUUUUAAACCCACAAUUACUUUUUCAUAAUGUAAAAACGUCAACCUUCGUUUAUGUUUUGUUAAACUAUUUUAAUCUUUAUGUUUUGUUAAACUAUUUCACACAGGGGGCAGAUCUCCUUAGAAGGGGAGCCACUCGCCACGAUGCUUCCAGUUUCACCAUUCUUGAAACUCUUAUGAACCACAAAGCCAAUAUAAGAGCUCUGUUUCAAUCCAACGGCUGGAUUUUGUCACAGACCACCGCUAAGCCUGAAGAGAGAAGAGAAGUGAAGUGCUGCGUUUUGGAAGAUGGUUACUUGGAGUUUACAAUAUGAAGAUGGAACCCGUGACGAGGAAGACGAGGAGAAGUGUUACUUGGAAUAUCCUAACGUUGAGGAUGUAGACAAUGUGUGAUCUUAGCGAUGAAGAUUAGUGUAGCUUUAAUAUAUGCUACUAAGGUCCUUGAGCUCCCUAACAAGUACUAGCAAACAAUGUGUAUUUUGAAAAAAUAAAAUAAUUUUGUAAUGC